rnacentral:rRNA from 1 species
UACGUAGGGGGCGAGCGUUGUCCGGAUUUAUUGGGCGUAAAGAGCGUGUAGGCGGCCAGGUAGGUCUGCUGUGAAAACUCGAGGCUCAACCUCGAGACGUCGGCGGAAACCAUCUGACUAGAGUCCGGAAGAGGAGAGUGGAAUUCCUGGUGUAGCGGUGAAAUGCGCAGAUAUCAGGAAGAACACCCGUGGCGAAGGCGGCUCUCUGGGACGGUACUGACGCUGAGGCGCGAAAGCGUGGGGAGCGAACAGG